GCGGGGCCUGGGUUAGGGACGUUUCGACGGACGCUAAUACCGCAUACGUCCUACGGGGGAAAGCAGGGGACCUUGCGCUCACUGCGCUAUCAGAUGAGCCUAGGUCGGAUUAGCUAGUUGGCCGAUGGUAAUGGCUCACCAAGGCGACGAUCCGUAACUGGUCUGAGAGGAUGAUCAGUCACACUGGAACUGAGACACGGUCCAGACUCCUACGGGAGGCAGCAGUGGGGAAUAUUGGACAAUGGGCGAAAGCCUGAUCCAGCCAUGCCGCGUGUGUGAAGAAGGUCUUCGGAUUGUAAAGCACUUUAAGUUGGGAGGAAGGGCAGUAAGUUAAUACCUUGCUGUUUUGACGUUACUGACAGAAUAAGCACCGGCUAACUCUGUGCCAGCAGCCGCGGUAAUACAGAGGGUGCAAGCGUUAAUCGGAAUUACUGGGCGUAAAGCGCGCGUAGGUGGUUCGUUAAGUUGGAUGUGAAAGCCCCGGGCUCAACCUGGGAACUGCAUCCAAAACUGGCGAGCUAGAGUACGGUAGAGGGUGGUGGAAUUUCCUGUGUAGCGGUGAAAUGCGUAGAUAUAGGAAGGAACACCAGUGA
rnacentral:rRNA from 1 species